AAAUUGAAGAGUUUGAUCAUGGCUCAGAUUGAACGCUGGCGGCAGGCCUAACACAUGCAAGUCGAACGGUAACAGGAAGCAGCUUGCUGCUUUGCUGACGAGUGGCGGACGGGUGAGUAAUGUCUGGGAAACUGCCUGAUGGAGGGGGAUAACUACUGGAAACGGUAGCUAAUACCGCAUAACGUCGCAAGACCAAAGAGGGGGACCUUCGGGCCUCUUGCCAUCGGAUGUGCCCAGAUGGGAUUAGCUAGUAGGUGGGGUAAAGGCUCACCUAGGCGACGAUCCCUAGCUGGUCUGAGAGGAUGACCAGCCACACUGGAACUGAGACACGGUCCAGACUCCUACGGGAGGCAGCAGUGGGGAAUAUUGCACAAUGGGCGCAAGCCUGAUGCAGCCAUGCCGCGUGUAUGAAGAAGGCCUUCGGGUUGUAAAGUACUUUCAGCGGGGAGGAAGGGAGUAAAGUUAAUACCUUUGCUCAUUGACGUUACCCGCAGAAGAAGCACCGGCUAACUCCGUGCCAGCAGCCGCGGUAAUACGGAGGGUGCAAGCGUUAAUCGGAAUUACUGGGCGUAAAGCGCACGCAGGCGGUUUGUUAAGUCAGAUGUGAAAUCCCCGGGCUCAACCUGGGAACUGCAUCUGAUACUGGCAAGCUUGAGUCUCGUAGAGGGGGGUAGAAUUCCAGGUGUAGCGGUGAAAUGCGUAGAGAUCUGGAGGAAUACCGGUGGCGAAGGCGGCCCCCUGGACGAAGACUGACGCUCAGGUGCGAAAGCGUGGGGAGCAAACAGGAUUAGAUACCCUGGUAGUCCACGCCGUAAACGAUGUCGACUUGGAGGUUGUGCCCUUGAGGCGUGGCUUCCGGAGCUAACGCGUUAAGUCGACCGCCUGGGGAGUACGGCCGCAAGGUUAAAACUCAAAUGAAUUGACGGGGGCCCGCACAAGCGGUGGAGCAUGUGGUUUAAUUCGAUGCAACGCGAAGAACCUUACCUGGUCUUGACAUCCACGGAAGUUUUCAGAGAUGAGAAUGUGCCUUCGGGAACCGUGAGACAGGUGCUGCAUGGCUGUCGUCAGCUCGUGUUGUGAAAUGUUGGGUUAAGUCCCGCAACGAGCGCAACCCUUAUCCUUUGUUGC
rnacentral:rRNA from 1 species